GACGUAGGGGGCCAGCGUUGUUCGGAAUUACUGGGUGUAAAGGGUUCGUAGGCGGUGCGGCAAGUCGGGAGUGAAAUCUCUGGGCUCAACCCAGAGGCUGCUUCCGAAACUGCUGUGCUUGAGUGUGGGAGAGGCGCGUGGAAUUGCAGGUGUAGCGGUGAAAUGCGUAGAUAUCUGCAGGAACACCCGUGGCGAAGGCGGUUCUCUGGGCCUUACCUGACGCUGAGGAGCGAAAGCGUGGGGAGCGAACAGG
rnacentral:rRNA from 1 species